AGGACGAACGCUGGCGGCGUGCUUAACACAUGCAAGUCGAGCGGUGAUCCUCCUUCGGGAGGUGAGCAGCGGCGAACGGGUGAGUAACACGUGGGCAACCUGCCCCCUCACACUGGGAUAACCUCGGGAAACCGGGGCUAAUACCGGAUAUGACCUCGAGCGGCAUCUCUUGAGGUGGAAAGCUCCGACGGUGAGGGGAUGGGCCCGCGGCCUAUCAGCUUGUUGGUGGGGUAAUGGCCUACCAAGGCGACGACGGGUAGCCGGCCUGAGAGGGCGACCGGCCACACUGGGGACUGAGACACGGCCCAGACUCCUACGGGAGGCAGCAGUGGGGAAUAUUGCGCAAUGGGCGAAAGCCUGACGCAGCGACGCCGCGUGAGGGAUGAAGGCCUUCGGGUUGUAAACCUCUUUCAGCAGGGACGAAGCGAAAGUGACGGUACCUGCAGAAGAAGCACCGGCUAACUACGCGCCAGCAGCCGCGGUAA
rnacentral:rRNA from 1 species